rnacentral:rRNA from 1 species
AUUGAACGCUGGCGGCAGGCCUAACACAUGCAAGUCGAGCGGAUGAAGGGAGCUUGCUCCUGGAUUCAGCGGCGGACGGGUGAGUAAUGCCUAGGAAUCUGCCUGGUAGUGGGGGAUAACGUCCGGAAACGGGCGCUAAUACCGCAUACGUCCUGAGGGAGAAAGUGGGGGAUCUUCGGACCUCACGCUAUCAGAUGAGCCUAGGUCGGAUUAGCUAGUUGGUGGGGUAAAGGCCUACCAAGGCGACGAUCCGUAACUGGUCUGAGAGGAUGAUCAGUCAUACUGGAACUGAGACACGGUCCAGACUCCUACGGGAGGCAGCAGUGGGGAAUAUUGGACAAUGGGCGAAAGCCUGAUCCAGCCAUGCCGCGUGUGUGAAGAAGGUCUUCGGAUUGUAAAGCACUUUAAGUCGGGAGGAAGGGCAGUAAGUUAAUACCUUGCUGUUUUGACGUUACCAACAGAAUAAGCACCGGCUAACUUCGUG